rnacentral:lncRNA from 1 species
GCUCGCAGGAACAGGUGAUAGAUCUGUUUACUGCAGGUAGCAGUUGUAAUUUUUCACUCCAAAUCCCUACAGGCGAGUAAACAGCUGAAGCCUGACAGGCAGUACAUGAGUAAGAGAUCUCCUGGAGUAUGCAGCACGUAUAACCAGACAGUUGAAAGAAAGGGGAUCGCUUGGGAGUCUAGACGGUGUCACCGCCGGCGAUCUAUACCUGAACCGGCUAUUUCAAGAUUGACUCCUCCCUAA